UUGAAUGUUGCCUGCGAUAUGUUGUAUAUCCCAGUCAUACUUUAGAAUGGCAUUUAGUUCUCGGUUAAAAUUGGAGGACAUUAAUUACAUAUUAAUGGGAUAUAUAUUUCUGUCUCACCAUAAAAGCGCCAUCAAAGAGAAUAUUUGCAUCAAAGCGUAGGACGCAUAAACAAGAGUGGAAAAAAGCAAGAGAAGACUUGCUAACUCGCCAUGGUGCUUACCAAGAGGAACGCAUGGGUCGUAUGCUUGGUAGUGCUUGUGGUCAUGGCUACAACCCUGCCCUUGUCGGCUGCAAAAGAGAAGAGGUGCUAUGAUAUGAUAGAUUGCUAUGAUCAGCGUUGUCGUGAAUAUUGUUUUGCAGCCGGUAUCGGUGAAACAGGACACUGCAGAUUUACUGUAGAAUGUUGUUGUAACGUUUAGAAGAUAGCUCAAAAUGCUUAUUCUGCCAGGA